rnacentral:rRNA from 1 species
UACGAAGGGGGCUAGCGUUGCUCGGAAUGACUGGGCGUAAAGGGCGCGUAGGCGGCGGUCACAGUCAGAUGUGAAAUUCCUGGGCUUAACCUGGGGGCUGCAUUUGAUACGUGGUUGCUUGAGUGGGGAAGAGGGUCGUGGAAUUCCCAGUGUAGAGGUGAAAUGCGUAGAUAUCUGGAGGAACACCGGUGGCGAAGGCGGCAUCCUGGACCAACACUGGCGCUGAGUGAGCGAAAGCCAGGGGAGCAAACGGG